rnacentral:rRNA from 1 species
GACGAACCGUGCGAACGUUAUUCGGAAUCACUGGGCUUAAAGCGCGUGUAGGCGGAAGGGCACGUCCGUUGCUGAAAUCCCCCGGCUCAACCGGGGAACGGGCGCGGAUACGACUCUUCUGGAGGGGCGUAGGGGGACCUGGAACUUCCGGUGGAGCGGUGAAAUGCGUAGAGAUCGGAAAGAACACCAACGGCGAAAGCACUCUGCUGGGCCGACACUGACACUGAGAGACGAAAGCUAGGGGAGCGAAUGGG